rnacentral:rRNA from 1 species
GAUGAACGCUGGCGGCGUGCCCAAUACAUGCAAGUCGAGCGAACAGACGAGGAGCUUGCUCCUCUGACGUUAGCGGCGGACGUGUGAGUAACACGUGUAUCACCUACCUAUAAUACUGGUAUAACUUCGGGAAACCGGAGCUAAUACCGUAUAAUAUAUUGAACCGCAUGGUUCAAUAGUGAAAUACGGUUUUUCUGUCACUUAUCGAUGGAUCCGCGCCGAAUUAGCUAGUUGGUAAGGUAACGGCUUACCAAGGCAACGAUGCGUAGCCGACCGGAGAGGGUGAUAGGCCACACUGGAACUGAGACACGGUCCAGACUCCUAAGGGAGGCAGCAGUAGGGAAUCUUACGCAAUGGGCGAAAGCAUGACGGAGCGACGCCGAGUGAGUGAUGAAGGUCUUCGGAUCGUAAAACUCUGUUAUUAGGGAAGAACAAAUGUGUAAGUAAAUAUGCACGUCUUGACGGUACCUAAUCAGAAAGCCACGGCUAACUACGUG